rnacentral:lncRNA from 1 species
GGUGGAACUGAGAGAGCCUCUCCAGGGAGCCGGGCACGCAGUCCAGAAGGCUGCAGUAUUUCCUCCAAGGGGGGAAAAAGAAGAUGAAAAAGAAGAAGAAAAAGAAAGAAAGAGGCUGCUGCCACCCCUCUGCUAGCUAUCUGGAAUAGCACAGUGAGCAGCGUCUGCAGCCGAGCCGCGGGUGGAACCGAACCCCAGCUUCUCUGUGAAGUGCCUGGGUGGGGCAUGGCCCAGCCUCCCUGCCCUGCUCCGACCAGGGCUCCCAAGCUCCCAAGCUGCUUCUCCUCUUCAAUCGCCAAGUUCCCAGAGGUGAGGCAUGGCAUUGAUGAACAAAACAGACCCUGCCCUGCGAGGGGAGCAUGAGGGAAGGAGAAGUGUGUGUGUGUGUGUGUGUGUGUGUGUGUGUGUGUAUUUACACACACAUGCCAACCUUUCUAGUUAAGUAGGGAGAAAAGUGUAUUCAAGGCUUUUUCAAAAUCUGUUAACACAUUAAAAGCCAGAUGAACCGAGGACCUGAAGAUGAAACCAAUGUUUUGGGGGAUGCUCAAGAGAGGAGAAAAAGUGGGGAUUCUCAGCUGGGUACCUCUGUGGGGAAGCCAAGCCCCAUCUCAACAAGGGGGUUGCCUUAACUAUCACAAAUAAUUGUGUUGUGGCUUUAUCCAUCUCUUAAAAACGAAAUCAAAGUGAUCUUUACAUUUAUUCGCUUAUUGGAGAAUAAAAUAACCUCUCUCUCUCUCUCUCUCUCUCUCUCUCUCUCUCUCUCUCUCUCUCCUUCUCUUACUUGCUCUUUCUUAAUGCUUUCGUGGCUCUGUAAGUAUUGCACACAAAAAAAUUGAACAAAAACUCAUAAUUACUUGUCAGAGUUUUUCCCCCCACCAGUAAUAAUAUUCCGACACGUCGAUCAGCUGCUACAUUAUAAUACAGAUUGUUUCAGAGAAGAUAGAUCUCCUUAAAGGGUUUCUCUGCAAGGCGGCGGUGAGGCUAAAAUUAGCUGUGCCAGCUGUGUUUUGCUGGGAGUGCUCACGCAUGCCCGGAGCGUGGGCAGCCAGCCUCUGUGCCUCUCCACUCCCCCAAGUCUGCCGAACACUCCAGCCGUCCUUUCAGAUAAAAGACUCCAGGUACAAAGGCAGUUUCCUCACAUGGAGGGAGAAUUGAAACUGCAAUACACAGGAUGCCACCUCUGCUUUAAGUCCCGCCUGCCACUCAUGGGGUAACAACCUAGGCUCCUGUGCUCCUUAGCUCCAGGAAGCUCAGUUCUGAAGUCUGGGUACCAGCAGAAAGACAAGGACACGGAGACAUCACAUUGGGUUUUAUGUCGAUUCUCUCUCUCUCUCUCUCUCUCUCUCUCUCUCUCUCUCUCUCUCUGUGUGUGUGUGUGUGUGUGUGUGUGUGUGUGUUUCUCUUUUUUAAAAGACAGGGUCUCAGAUACCCCAAGCUGCUCUUAAAACUUGCUGUGAAACGGAAUGAUUUUGGCUUCUGAUUCUCCUGCCUUCCAUCGCCCAGCACUGGUAUUGAAGGCAUAAAUUAAUGAAUGAACCAGGUUCCUGUGGGCACUGGCUGUGGAACCUAGGACCCUGCCCACAAUGGGCAAGCACUCUACCAACACAGCUAUCUCUUGAUGACAAAAAUCAGAACUUGGGUUGGAAAGUGGGUAUGGGACACCUGUGAUGGAAACAUAUCAAGACAGCUUCACUCAUGGACCUCAAUUAUUCCAUCCAUAAAAUGGAGAAGGACAGCAACUGAAAUCAGGCACCAAUCUCAAAGUCUUCUGGCCACAUCUCCCUCUCUAGAGAACUUGUCAAGCAUCUGGGAAUCUCGUUGUUCCUUCCUUUCUGCUUGGUAUCAGACUGUAAAUUCUACUCUUCACACUUCAUGGUCCAGCUCUGAGUGCCACUGAGCAGAGGUCAUGUUGGUGAUCGCCAAGCUCACACCAGGCAUCCUCUGCCAGCAUGAACAUGCCCCCCUGAAGCAGUCUUCCUGAAACCCUCACUUCCCAAGGUAUAGUUGGUUUUCCCCAAGUUGGUUUCUCCCACGACCUUCUAAACUCAGAACAGCAGGCCAUAGCCUCCUCUGUAGCCUUAAGAACUAGCAAGGCCAGACACAAAGCAUGUGUUCUGACAUGCUUGGAGAACAAAAUAUCCUGGACAUAAUAAACAAUUUGUCCCUCAACUCA